rnacentral:rRNA from 1 species
GAGUACGGCCGCAAGGCUGAAACUUAAAGGAGUUGGCGGGGGAGCACUACAACGGGUGGAGCCUGCGGUUUAAUUGGACUCAACGCCGGAAAACUCACCGGGGGCGACAGCAAUAUGUAGGUCAGGUUAAAGGUCUUACCUGAAUCGCUGAGAGGAGGUGCAUGGCCGUCGUCAGUUCGUACUGUGAAGCAUCCUGUUAAGUCAGGCAACGAGCAAGACCCGUGCCCACUGUUACCAGCAUAUCCUUUAUGGAUGAUGGGGACUCUGUGGGGACCGCUGCUGCUAAAGCAGAGGAAGGUGCGGGCUACGGUAGGUCAGUAUGCCCCGAAUCUCCCGGGCUACACGCGGGCUACAAUGGUUGGGACAAUGGGUAUCUACUCCGAAAGGAGUUGGCAAUCUCUUAAACCCAAUCGUAGUUCGAAUUGAGGGCUGUAACUCGCCCUCAUGAAGCUGGAAUCCGUAGUAAUCGCGUUUCAACAUAGCGCGGUGAAUCUGUCCCUGCUCCUUGCACACACCGCCCGUCAAACCAUCCGAGUGAGGUAUGGGUGAGGGCACGAACUUAGUGUCGUGCUCGAACCUAAAUUUCGCAAGGAGGGUUAAGUCGUAACAAGGUAGCCGUAGGGGAAUCUGCGGCUGGAUCACCUCCU